rnacentral:rRNA from 1 species
ACGAACGCUGGCGGCGUGCUUAACACAUGCAAGUCGAACGGAAAGGCCCUGCUUUUGUGGGGUGCUCGAGUGGCGAACGGGUGAGUAACACGUGAGUAACCUGCCCUUGACUUUGGGAUAACUUCAGGAAACUGGGGCUAAUACCGGAUAGGAGCUCCUGCUGCAUGGUGGGGGUUGGAAAGUUUCGGCGGUUGGGGAUGGACUCGCGGCUUAUCAGCUUGUUGGUGGGGUAGUGGCUUACCAAGACUUUGACGGGUAGCCGGCCUGAGAGGGUGACCGGCCACAUUGGGACUGAGAUACGGCCCAGACUCCUACGGGAGGCAGCAGUGGGGAAUAUUGCACAAUGGGCGGAAGCCUGAUGCAGCAACGCCGCGUGCGGGAUGACGGCCUUCGGGUUGUAAACCGCUUUCGCCUGUGACGAAGCGUGAGUGACGGUAAUGGGUAAAGAAGCACCGGCUAACUACGUG